rnacentral:snRNA from 10 species
GGAACUGAGCAGUGGCAGUAUCGUAGCCAAUGAGGUUUAUCGGAGGUGUGAUCAUUGCUAAUUGAAAACUUUUCUAUAAAGGAACUGGUCUGUAGUUUAAAAAAAAAAAAUCAGUGUCACAAAGGAC